UGUACAGGCUGACUGGGUGGAUGGAACUGUACAGGCUGAUGACUGGGUGGAUGGAACUGUACAGGCUGAUGACUGGGUGGAUGGAACUGUACAGGGUGGAUGGAACUGUACAGGGUGGAUGGAACUGUACAGGGUGGAUGACUGGGUGGAUGGAACUGUACAGGCUGACUGGGUGGAUGGAACUGUACAGGAUGACUGGGUGGAUGGAACUGUACAGGGUGGAUGACUGGGUGGAUGGAACUGUACAGGGUGGAUGGAACUGUACAGGGUGGAUGACUGGGUGGAUGGAACUGUACAGGGUGGUGACUGGGUGGAUGGAACUGUACAGGGUGAUGACUGGGUGGAUGGAACUGUACAGGGUGGAUGGAACUGUACAAGGUGAUGACUGGGUGGAUGGAACUGAUGGUCUACCUCUCUCAUUCACUCUACAUGCCACCACGUCAUUGGGUGGUUCUGACAAACUUGAACUGUGGGAAGACAAAAUAAAGGCUUUAUUCUUAAAUGAAAUGUGUCUUUGUCAAU
rnacentral:lncRNA from 1 species